UCAAUUCCACCCAGUUGUGCUUCAGGAUGGAACCAUCCAAAACAGAAGAAAUCCAGCUUCUUUCUGCCUGACAGCAAGACUUGGAGAGAUACAGACUUCAGGCUGGAGAGGCUUAAACUUUGUAGCAGUUUAUUGGAUGAGUAUCAGUCAGUACACCCUGACAGAGGAUUGGAAAGUGCAAAUGCUGAAGAUACAAUACUGAGGAAAAAAAUCUAAAUCCCAAGUCUCUCUUUGUAUAUAGAAGUAUUGAAGAAAUAAUUUCUCCUGUGGCAGAAAAAGACUUGAAGAAUAGGAUGUAGUCUGAGAUCAGAUCAAGUCCUGGAAAACUGCUGCUGUCAUGUAGGAUCUGCACUGGAAGAGAAAGAGAUUUGCAGUCAGCAUACGUGCAAUCAAUAUAAGGUGAAAUUAUUCAGGUUUCUCCAGAUCUUUAUAAGGAUAGAUUGUUUUCUGCAAGCUGUGCCUCAAGUGUAAAACUCCAGAUUUCGUGAACCUGUGCUGCAAUGACAAUGGAUGUUCCUUAAAGCUUUUGUGAGGACAUUUCUGCUGUGCCUGCGUUGGCAGGUGACAUGUGCAUUAUUUUUCAAAGGCUGCUUCAGGUGAUGGAUUCUGCCAUUCCCUCUGGAAGUCUCAUUCCUCAGGGUGUGAUGAUGUUUUACCAGUGAAUGGUCCAGUGUCAAGUCAGACUGAAAUCCAACCCCUCCAAUCAAGGAACCUCCUCUGCUCCACUGGACCAGAAUUGGACAUGCAGCCUGAAGAACUGCUUCAAAAGAAUGUACAUAAUUUCAGCCUUCCUCCAGUCAUUCAAGACAAGCUAUUCAUAAUUUUUGGAUUGGGUGAUCACCCAUUUGGCCUAUUUAUUGUUCUCUGAGAUGUAUUAAGGUGGCAUUUGCCUAAGCCAGGUGAGAGAAGAGAAAGGAAAGGUAUAUGGUUUAUCAAAAUCAGAUCCUUUUCUUGAAGGGGUUGAGUGACUGUUAGAACAGAAGCACAGCUUAAAUACCUGGAUUUUUGUUUAUGUGUGUUGCAGCCUGACCCAAAGAGCCAGUCUACAGUUAAAGAAUAGGAGAGGAUGCAUUCAGUGCCUGUUGUUCCUACAACUAUUGGGGAUGAAUAGCAGUAUUUGCAGGUGUGGAGCUGCUCGUGUCCAGGGUAAGGGUUGUGAUGGUGUUGGGACAGGCUCUCCUUUAUUUUUUUAUUCUGUUAACACUGUGUGCAGAAGUUUGAAGUGAUAGCUGUGGCUACCAUGGUUUGGACUAAAUUCACGUGCCAGUUACAAGAAUUUUACAAUCCUUGUGUAGCAUGUACUGGGAUACCAGUGGCUGCUAGAGCUGGGAGUUGUCUCUGCAGGAAUUUGGUUUUACUUUCCCUUGCUAUAGGGCUGGCAGUACCCAGGGCCAAGAGCCCAUUGUGCUGCUGAUUUUGAAGCCAGCUGCUUCCUCAGAAACUACUCUCCCUCCCAAAAUGUUAUUUCCAGGCAUGCUCAGCCUAACACAAGGGUGUAUCAGUCACACACCACAGAGCACGGAGCAUAUGUGUACGAGGGACACAUCUGUACAGCACUUUUCUAAGAGGUAAUAUUUAGAACCUUGUUGUUCCAGUGUGCAUGUUUCCUUGUGAUUUAUGGUGCUUGUAAAUAAAGGGAAUGUGUUACAUUUUUGGCAAUUUGCCUUUAUGCAGAAGAAUUAAAGACUUGAACUUUAAAAAUCCU